rnacentral:rRNA from 1 species
AGCGAACGUUAGCGGCGGGCCUAACACAUGCAAGUCGAACGCGAAAGGUCUUCGGACUGAGUAGAGUGGCGCACGGGUGAGUAACACGUAGGUAAUCUACCCUUUGGCGGGGGAUAACGUUCCGAAAGGAGCGCUAAUACCGCAUAAGACCACGGAGUCUCCGGACGCUGUGGGAAAAGGUGGCCUCUUCUUGAAAGCUACCACCGAAGGACGAGCCUGCGUCCCAUCAGCUAGUUGGUAAGGUAAUGGCUUACCAAGGCGAAGACGGGUAGCUGGUUUGAGAGAAUGAUCAGCCACACUGGCACUGGAACACGGGCCAGACUCCUACGGGAGGCAGCAGUGAGGAAUAUUGGGCAAUGGGCGAAAGCCUGACCCAGCCACGCCGCGUGAGUGAUGAAGGCCCUCGGGUCGUAAAGCUCUGUGGAGAGGGACGAAAACCCUGGUUUCAAAUAGGCUCCAGGCUUGACGGUACCUCUUUAGCAAGCACCGGCUAACUCUGUGCCAGCAGCC